CUGCUGCCUCCCGUAGGAGUCUGGUCCGUGUCUCAGUACCAGUGUGGGGGACCUUCCUCUCAGAACCCCUACGCAUCGUCGCCUCGGUGGGCCGUUACCCCGCCUACUGCCUAAUGCGCCGCAUGCCCAUCCCUGUCCGGCCGAAGCCUUUCCUGCCUCCGGGAUGCCCCGGUGGCAUGUACGCGGGUUUAGCCCGCCUUUCGGCGGGUUGUCCCCCUGACAGGGGCAGGUUGCAUACGUGUUACUCACCCGUGCGCGGUCGCCGGCGGAGAAAG
rnacentral:rRNA from 1 species